CCCAAAACGAUGAUGCCACUGCUCAUUACCUGCGGAGCCAGACCGGUGUGUGCCUGCGCCUCCGGAAGACUGCGCUGAAUGAAUGAGCCUCCACCUUGGUCCGGGGCGGGGACGAGGGUGGGAUCCAUUUUACACCCGGAUGAACCGCCAGGGAUUGUGGGCGGGCGCCUGGCUCAAGGAUACAACCCGGGUGAAUGGCGCAGUUCUGGAUUCAGCAGAACGAAGGAGUCAAGGCUGGAGCCCCAGGUACCUCCCAGGGAAAGCCAAAGAGCAGCCUCCUUCCUCUCCAGCUUCAGGACAAGAAGAGCCAGUUGUAACUUCCAAGCUCUUCCUCCUCUGCCCCCUGCAUUCCAGAAUCGUCUCUUCAGAGUUCCUAGCACGUGCCCAUACUAGUCUCUUAAAGGCAACCUUCAACUUCCCUUGUUUCUAUAAUUCUACUAUUGCAUGAUGAAGGAUGCCCGAAACGUCCCCAUUAGAGACAUCCGGUUUCCUGGCUGCACAUGACUGUGUGAGGUCGGGGCAGAUCUCUAAAGUUUCCUGACAAAUACAAAGUAGGGAAUGGCAGCAAGGUGAAGAGCAAGAUGGAUUGUGUGCGUGGGAUAGGAGGGGGCUAAUGAUUCAGAACCAUUAGAGGAGGAGAGGACAUUUUAAGUUGAAGGAAUCAAGGAAGACUUCUUAGAAGAGGGCAACUGAGCUGUAAUUUGAAGGACACCAGGAAGGAGAGAGAGCAUGGUGGGUACUCAGAUGAGGGAAUGAAGAGGGAGUAGCAAAGCAGACCAGAUUAGGUGGGAUGUGAAUUGGUUUGGACAGCAAGGCUGAAACUGGAUUGUAGAGGACUGUAAAUGCCCAAAGUGGGCUCCUCUUUUGUCUAAGAGGCUACAGAGGAACCGUGGAAGGUCUUUGGGCACCAAAGGGCUGGGAUGGCCCAGCGCCUUCUUCAUAUUGGCUGUGAGGCUGUAGUUGGCCCCAAACACCAGUGGGCAGGAAUAUAUGGAAGCUGCCCAUCAUUUUUACCAAUGGCUCACAAGACGGUAAUGCACCUUCUUCAGCAAACUUAAUUCUAUUGGUAAAAUGGGCAAAAGAGCCUUCUGACUUACAUAUGUAUUCAAACAAAAAGUAGAAAGAAAGUUUUUGGAUAGGGAGAAAAAUGUGAUGCACCCAGAGAAGAGACAAUGAAAUGGACGUCCACUUUGAUGUCAGGUUCCCAAGAUGAAAUAUUUCCUAUGUAGUCCUGCCUGGAUUUUGUAUCAGAUGUUUUUGCUUUGCU
rnacentral:lncRNA from 1 species